AUUGAACGCUGGCGGCAGGCCUAACACAUGCAAGUCGAAUGGUAACAGGAAACUGCUUGCUGUUUCGCUGACGAGUGGCGGACGGGUGAGUCAUGUCUGUGAAACUGCCUGAUGGAGGGGGAUAACUACUGGAAACGGUAGCUAAUACCGCAUAACGUCGCAAGACCAAAGAGGGGGACCUUCGGGCCUCUUGCCUUCAGCUGUGCCCAGAUGGGAUUAGCUAGUAGGUGGGGUAACGGCUCACCUAGGCGACGAUCCCUAGCUGGUCUGAGAGGAUGACCAGCCACACUGGAACUGAGACACGGUCCAGACUCCUACGGGAGGCAGCAGUGGGGAAUAUUGCACAAUGGGCGCAAGCCUGAUGCAGCCAUGCCGCGUGUAUGAAGAAGGCCUUCGGGUUGUAAAGUACUUUCAGCGGGGAGGAAGGGAGUAAAGUUAAUACCUUUGCUCAUUGACGUUACCCGCAGAAGAAGCACCGGCUAACUCCGUG
rnacentral:rRNA from 1 species